UACGUAGGGGGCUAGCGUUGUCCGGAAUCAUUGGGCGUAAAGGGCGCGUAGGCGGCCUUCUAAGUCGAACGUGAAAUCCCCGGGCUCAACCCGGGAACUGCGUCCGAUACUGGAAGGCUUGAAUCCGGGAGAGGGAUGCGGAAUUCCAGGUGUAGCGGUGAAAUGCGUAGAUAUGCGGAGGAACACCGAUGGCGAAGGCAAUCCCCUGGGCCAACACUGACGCUCAGGCACGAAAGCGUGGGGAGCAAACAGG
rnacentral:rRNA from 1 species